rnacentral:rRNA from 1 species
UACGAAGGGGGCUAGCGUUGCUCGGAAUCACUGGGCGUAAAGCGCACGUAGGCGGAUUGUUAAGUCAGGGGUGAAAUCCUGGAGCUCAACUCCAGAACUGCCUUUGAUACUGGCGAUCUCGAGUCCGGGAGAGGUGAGUGGAACUGCGAGUGUAGAGGUGAAAUUCGUAGAUAUUCGCAAGAACACCAGUGGCGAAGGCGGUUCUCUGGGCCUGACCUGACGCUGAGGAGCGAAAGCGUGGGGAGCGAACAGG